GAAAGUCAAGGGGAAAGCUGUCCUCAUCAGUCAUAAGCCCUGCUAAAUCCUGGGCAGAAAUCCUUUUCCCCCUCUGAGAACAGUGCACCCCUCAGGCACCGGCAGGCCUGGUGUGGUGUGGGCCGUCCCCUGAUGGAGAAAGCACAGUGCUGGGUGCCUCACAGCCACAUCUUGGUCAGCGGGUUCUGCCUGUUCCUUCAGCGUUGUUCCUGCUGCUGAAGGACAGAGGAAAAUACUGCCUGUGCCUCUGCCCAACCGCCCCAAGGCCCUGAUGUUCCUUUGAUUGCUCUUAGAAUGUUUUGCUAUUUCUUCAUCAUGACGGAGGCCGUGCUGGGAGCUCCUCACUGCCCUCCGUCCCCCCUCGGCCUUCCGUGCCCAGCGCCGAGCAAAGGCCGUGCCCGCAGCCUGCCCUGGGCUGCCGUGUGCCCGGGCCCCUCAAUAGCGCUGAGGCCUGGGCUGGGCCCUCACCCCGCGGGGCAGAGCCGUUCCCACUGGGGAGAGCCGGAGGGGACACGGCAGUCCCCGGGCAGACCCUCAGCUAAUGGAUCUGACAACUUGAGUGGGGGGACUGCUUCACCCACGGAGCACUGUGAGGCCUGAGGAAGAGGUGCUGCUGACAGGCAGAACGAGGAUGCAGGCUGGACCUCCCAGGGAUUUUGUUCGCAGAAUGGAAUGAGCUGCAA
rnacentral:lncRNA from 1 species